UACGUAGGGUGCGAGCGUUAAUCGGAAUUACUGGGCGUAAAGCGUGCGCAGGCGGUUUUGCAAGUCAGAUGUGAAAGCCCCGGGCUCAACCUGGGAAUUGCAUUUGAAACUACAAGGCUAGAGUGUGUCAGAGGGGGGUAGAAUUCCACGUGUAGCAGUGAAGUGCGUAGAGAUGUGGAGGAAUACCGAUGGCGAAGGCAGCCCCCUGGGAUAACACUGACGCUCAUGCACGAAAGCGUGGGGAGCAAACAGG
rnacentral:rRNA from 1 species